rnacentral:rRNA from 1 species
AAUCCUACGGGGGGCAGCAGUGGGGAAUAUUGCAUAAUGGGGGAAACCCUGAUGCAGCGACGCCGCGUGAGUGAAGAAGUAUUUCGGUAUGUAAAGCUCUAUCAGCAGGGAAGAAAUACUGACCUUACGGUCAGCAGACGGUACCUGACUAAGAAGCCCCGGCUAACUACGUGCCAGCAGCCGCGGUAAUACGUAGGGGGCAAGCGUUAUCCGGAUUUACUGGGUGUAAAGGGAGCGUAGACGGCAUGGCAAGUCUGAUGUGAAAACCCGGGGCUCAACCCCGGGACUGCAUUGGAAACUGUCAG